UCACCUUGCAGUCCGUUCCCGUUGGCGCUGGUGCAGGAAGGAGGAGGCGAGGCUUGGGGCCGGACCACGGGCGCAAAAGCGCUCUUCUGUUUCACUGCGGAGAUGACAUUGGCAGGUGAGAAUGAGAAAAUGCCGUGUGUGCUGCUACAGUUUGAAGGGAGGGUGACCGAAGAGGCUGCCAUGGUGGGGCUGGACGGCACUACUGCAACAAAGCAAACAAGCGCAUUUCAUCUAUAAGAAAUUCAGAUGCUCGGGAAAUUAAAAUUUCAAAGAUCUGCUGCAAAAAAAAAAAAAAAUCAAUGGGGCAAGAUCAAUGCUCAUAGAAAUUUCAUGAACUUUGAACUGAUCCGGGCAUGAUGAUGAGG
rnacentral:lncRNA from 1 species